UACGGAGGGUGCGAGCGUUGUCCGGAAUCACUGGGCGUAAAGGGCGCGUAGGCGGCCUGAUAAGUAGGGGGUGAAAUCUUGCGGCUUAACCGCAAGGCUGCCUUCUAAACUGUCAGGCUAGAGCACAGUAGAGGCAGGUGGAAUUCCCGGUGUAGCGGUGGAAUGCGUAGAGAUCGGGAAGAACAUCAGUGGCGAAGGCGGCCUGCUGGGCUGUUGCUGACGCUGAGGCGCGAAAGCUAGGGGAGCAAACGGG
rnacentral:rRNA from 1 species